GAUGAACGCUAGCUACAGGCUUAACACAUGCAAGUCGAGGGGAAACGACAUCGAAAGCUUGCUUUUGAUGGGCGUCGACCGGCGCACGGGUGAGUAACGCGUAUCCAACCUGCCCACCACUUGGGGAUAACCUUGCGAAAGUAAGACUAAUACCCAAUGACGUCUCUAGAAGAUAUCUGAAAGAGAUUAAAGAUUUAUCGGUGAUGGAUGGGGAUGCGUCUGAUUAGCUUGUUGGCGGGGUAACGGCCCACCAAGGCGACGAUCAGUAGGGGUUCUGAGAGGAAGGUCCCCCACAUUGGAACUGAGACACGGUCCAAACUCCUACGGGAGGCAGCAGUGAGGAAUAUUGGUCAAUGGGCGAGAGCCUGAACCAGCCAAGUAGCGUGCAGGAUGACGGCCCUAUGGGUUGUAAACUGCUUUUAUAAGGGAAUAAAGUGAGCCUCGUGAGGCUUUUUGCAUGUACCUUAUGAAUAAGGACCGGCUAAUUCCGUG
rnacentral:rRNA from 1 species